CCGGCCUUAGCACAGCCUGGCCAGUGCGCUUGGCUGUAGACCAAGAGAUCCGGAGUUCGAAUCUCCGAGGCCGGACCA
rnacentral:tRNA from 1 species